CAAUAGCGUAUAUUAAAGUUGUUGCAGUUAAAAAGCUCGUAGUUGGAUUUCUGGUUGGAGCGACCGGUCGGGCAUUGAUUUGUCUGCACUGGAGUCGGUUCUGGCCAUCCUCUUGGAAAGUGCGUCUGUCAUUAAGUUAUCGGGCGUAUGAUCCAGGUCUUUUACUGUGAAAAAAUUAGAGUGUUUAAAGCAGGCCUUCGCCUUGAAUACAUUAGCAUGGAAUAAUAAGAUAGGACUUUGGUCUAUUUUGUUGGUUUGCAGACCGAAGUAAUGAUUAAUAGGGAUAGUUGGGGGUAUUUAUAUUCCAAUGUCAGAGGUGAAAUUCUUAGAUUUUUGGAAGAUAAACUUAUGCGAAAGCAUUUACCAAGGAUGUUUNCAUUA
rnacentral:rRNA from 1 species